rnacentral:rRNA from 1 species
GGGAUUGCCCUAGUAACGGCGAGUGAAGCGGCAACAGCUCAAAUUUGAAAUCUGGCUCUUUUAGGGUCCGAGUUGUAAUUUGUAGAGGGUGCUUUGGCGUUGGCUGUGGUCUAAGUUCCUUGGAACAGGACGUCGCAGAGGGUGAGAAUCCCGUAUGUGGCCGCCAGUCUUCGCCGUGUAAAGCCCCUUCGACGAGUCGAGUUGUUUGGGAAUGCAGCUCUAAAUGGGAGGUAAAUUUCUUCUAAAGCUAAAUAUUGGCCAGAGACCGAUAGCGCACAAGUAGAGUGAUCGAAAGAUGAAAAGCACUUUGGAAAGAGAGUCAAAAAGCACGUGAAAUUGUUGAAAGGGAAGCGCUUGCAGCCAGACUUGCUUGCAGUUGUUUAGCUAGGCUUUUGCCUGGUGUACUCUUCUGCAUGCAGGCCAGCAUCAGUCCGGGCGGUUGGAUAAAGGCCUAUUAAACGUACCUCUCUUCGGGGAGGACUUAUAGGGUAGGUGCCAUGCAACCAGCCUGGAUUGAGGUCCGCGCAUCUGCUAGGAUGCUGGCGUAAUGGCUGUAAGCGG